rnacentral:rRNA from 1 species
UACAGAGGGGGCAAGCGUUGUUCGGAAUUACUGGGCGUAAAGGGCGCGUAGGCGGCCUGUUAAGUCGAACGUGAAAUCCCCGGGCUCAACCCGGGAACUGCGUCCGAUACUGGCAGGCUUGAAUCCGGGAGAGGGAUGCGGAAUUCCAGGUGUAGCGGUGAAAUGCGUAGAUAUCUGGAGGAACACCGGUGGCGAAGGCGGCGAUCCUGGACCAGAGCUGACACUGAGGCGCGAAAGCGUGGGGAGCGAUCCGG